UAUGCUUGUAUUUAAAAUCAAAUUAUAGAAUUACAAGAAUUUGAAAGAGAAAAGUAAAAUACUAACCUUAAAUCCAUAAUUAAUCUUCAAGGAAGUUCAUAGAACGAUUAGCAAUCAUUAUGCUCAAUAAUAUGUAAAAAUUGAGCAUCGUGCAUGUAUCCAAAGCCAUAGUAUUUAAUAUUUGCGUGGGCCUCUCUUAUGGAGAUAAGCGUAAUAUUCUUCAUGAACGCCCAUAUAAAUUUAAGACUGACAUUCCAAGCCGUAAUUCUUUUAUAUACAUCAACCAAAUUGUAAUCACAAGAGAACCCGACGAUUCUUGCCCAGAAUUCUCAACGACACUUGAGCUCGCAGCCGCGAACUCAAAUCGGAACCUCAGGACACACCUCGAACAACAACUUCGACUAUGCAGCAAUCGGACUUUGGUAAAAGGAGAUCAGAUUUAAAAGAUAAAAUAUGAAGCUAUUGCAAAUUGAAUUUCUAGGCUGCUGCGUUUUUAUAUUAUCAGAAACAAACAAUUUUGGUCUUGCCCUUUCAACCGCGUCUAUCCCUUGGUCUAGAUUGCAAAUCGCCGGAAAAUACAUGAGAAAUCGGAAAUAUUAGAUUCGGCCAAAUAUGGUUUAGGACUGGAGUUUAGGUGAUGUCCAUGGUUGGUUUAAGUUGAUUGAUUUUUGGUGAAGGGAGGUAGUUGGAGAUCUGUGGUGGUUCCGAAUUUUGUUCUAUGUGUGC
rnacentral:lncRNA from 1 species